rnacentral:sRNA from 1 species
AUUCCGAUAAGCCGCUGGGGCUGUUCUGACGCAAGAGGUAAUGCCCGAUGGCGCUGCGUUUAUCAGGCCUACAAGAAUUUAUCGCAAUAUACUGAUAUUGCAAAUCUUGUAGGCCGGAUAAGGCGCAGCCGCCAUCCGGCACAGUA